UGUGUAAAUCUAUUUAUGAGAGCCUGCCAUACUUCAAGUGAUCAGGAUUCAUUAUUUCUCCUGUCUCAGUUUGUAUCAUUCGACUUGGAGGGAAAGGAUACUUCUGCACUCUAGUGGCCAUUCUUCUAUGUUUCAGAGACUUUGAAGAUUUGAAGACAAUCCAGUAAACUUUGAAGGUAAGCUAUCUAAGAAAUACCAGGAUCUUUAUCAUAUCAUGCAGUAAGAACUCAUCAGAACUAUCAUACCCAGGUGAUGUGCUCUGAUACCAUGAGAAGAAAUCGAAUACAGAACAAGAUCUUCGAACAAUCAAUGAAAAUACCUCAGACUUCUGUUAUAUUUCUUCUCCAGAACUUCGAGUUCAUUCUUUACACAAUCUUUCAUCAAUUCCAGAUACAGAGAACGAAGAAAAAGCUUCUGAUG